rnacentral:rRNA from 1 species
GACGAACGCUGGCGGCGUGCUUAACACAUGCAAGUCGAACGGAAAGGCCCUGCUUUUGUGGGGUGCUCGAGUGGCGAACGGGUGAGUAACACGUGAGUAACCUGCCCUUGACUUUGGGAUAACUUCAGGAAACUGGGGCUAUUACCGGAUAUGAGCUCCUGCUGCAUGGUGGGCGUUGGAAAGUUUCGGCGGUUGGGGAUGGUCUCGCGGCUUAUCAGCUUGUUGGUGGGGUAGUGGCUUACCAAGGCUUUGACGGGUAGCCGGCCUGAGAGGGCGACCGGCCACAUUGGGACUGAGAUACGGCCCAGACUCCUACGGGAGGCAGCAGUGGGGAAUAUUGCACAAUGGGCGGAAGCCUGAUGCAGAAACGCCGCGUGCGGGAUGACGGCCUUCGGGUUGUAAACCGAUUUCGCCUGUGACGAAGCGUGAGUGACGGUAAUGGGUAAAGAAGCACCGGCUAACUACGUG